GACGAACGCUGGCGGCGUGCUUAACACAUGCAAGUCGAACGGAAAGGCCCUGCUUUUGUGGGGUGCUCGAGUGGCGAACGGGUGAGUAACACGUGAGUAACCUGCCCUUGACUUUGGGAUAACUUCAGGAAACUGGGGCUAAUACCGGAUAGGAGCUCCUGCUGCAUGGUGGGGGUUGGAAAGUUUCGGCGGUUGGGGAUGGACUCGCGGCUUAUCAGCUUGUUGGUGGGGUAGUGGCUUACCAGGGCUUUGACGGGUAGCCGGCCUGAGAGGGUGACCGGCCACAUUGGGACUGGGAUACGGCCCAGACUCCUACGGGAGGCAGCAGUGGGGAAUAUUGCACAAUGGGCGGAAGCCUGAUGCAGCAACGCCGCGUGCGGGAUGACGGCCUUCGGGUUGUAAACCGCUUUCGCCUGUGACGAAGCGUGAGUGACGGUAAUGGGUAAAGAAGCACCGGCUAACUACGUG
rnacentral:rRNA from 1 species